UUAUUUGAUGUUUUAAAGGGAUUUUAGGUUUUGACCAAAUUAAAAUGCAUUUUAAUUCAUUUUAAAAUUGAUUUUUAAUUGAUUAAAUGCUUGGAAAUAUUGUUGAGCCACUCUUAUGGUCUUAUGAUGUUUGACUUUCUAUUUGAGCGUUGGUCAAAGUUGAUUUGACUUUUGUUGGAUCAAAACCAUUGGAUUUAUGGGAUUGAUGAAAUGUAUAUUUCAUCUCCCAAAAUGAAUGGAUGAUUUUGAUUUGAU
rnacentral:lncRNA from 1 species